AUCCAUGACUCCAUGGGAGCUGCCCUGUGGCCGUCUCCCUUCCUAGGCAUGGAAGAACAGUUCCUUGCUAAUUGGCAAAACUUCUACCCUCCUGUGGGUAUUAGUCGUUGACUGUAGCAAGUAACACGC
rnacentral:snoRNA from 1 species